rnacentral:snoRNA from 1 species
AUGACUUUACCUGAUAGGAUCUGUUCUAUAGAUUUGUACCUCUGCGUCCUUAAGUUCUAAGGAGUCAGGGGGUGAAGUCUGGUGGGCGAACCGUUACCCUAUGAUCAAGGCAUGACUAACAGUGGUGUGAAUGGUUGUAGGAUUGUCUGACAGUUU